GACAGAGGUGCCAAGCGUUAGGCGGAAUCACUGGGCUUAAAGCGUGUGUAGGCGGGCGAUUAAGUACCUUGUCAAAUCCCACGGCUCAACCGUGGAACUGCUGGGUAUACUGGUUGUCUUGAGCCAGCUAGGGGCGAGCGGAACAGACGGUGGAGCGGUGAAAUGCGUAGAUAUCGUCUGGAACGCCGAAGGUGAAAACAGCUCGCUGGGGCUGCGCUGACGCUGAGACACGAAAGCCAGGGGAGCGAACGGG
rnacentral:rRNA from 1 species